rnacentral:rRNA from 1 species
UACGAAGGGGGCUAGCGUUGCUCGGAAUCACUGGGCGUAAAGGCGCGUAGGCGGCCAUUCAAGUCGGAGGUGAAAGCCCAGGGCUCAACCCUGGAAUUGCCUUCGAUACUGUCUGGCUAGAGACCGGAAGAGGUAAGUGGAACUGCGAGUGUAGAGGUGAAAUUCGUAGAUAUUCGCAAGAACACCAGUGGCGAAGGCGGCUUACUGGUC